GGGUGAUCCUGGACAACGGGGAGAAAAGGGUGAUGCUGGAGAAAGUGGACCCAAAGGUCACUCUGGAGAAAAGGGUGAUCCUGGAUCUUCUGCUGCGGGAAUUAAGGGGGAACCUGGACAAUCGGGUAGACCAGGACAAAAGGGUGAACCUGGACUUCCUGGACUUCCUGGGUUACCUGGAAUUAAGGUAAAUAUACAUGUUUUAUCUAUAUCAGUGCUGGCAAGAGAAUUGUAGGAAUUGCAAU